rnacentral:rRNA from 1 species
AUUGAACGCUGGCGGCAGGCCUAACACAUGCAAGUCGAACGAGUGGCGGACGGGUGAGUAAUGUCUGGGAAACUGCCCGAUGGCGGGGGAUAACUACUGGAAACGGUAGCUAAUACCGCAUACCAUCGGAUGGGUCCAGAUGGGAUUAGCUAGUAGGUGGGGUAACGGCUCACCUAGGCGACGAUCCCUAGCUGGUCUGGGAGGAUGACCAGCCACACUGGAACUGAGACACGGUCCAGACUCGUACGUGAGGCAGCAGUGGUGAAUAUUGCACAAUGGGCGCAAGCCGGAGGCAGCCAUGCCGCGGGUAUGAAGAAGGCCGUCGGGUUGUAAAGUACUUUCAGCGAGGAGGCGGUACUCGCAGAAGAAGCACCGGCUAACUCCGGGCCAGCAGCCGCGGUAAUUC